AACCCACUCUGUCCGUACAACAAAAGAUGUCUCAACUUUAACUAAAUUUAAAUGCAUCUAUAUACUAAGUCAUGUCUAGAUACAUUUAAAUUUUGUCAAACUUGAGACAUCUUUUGUUGGACCGAGGGAGUAAUUA
rfam:Brachypodium distachyon strain Bd21 chromosome 4, whole genome shotgun sequence.